rnacentral:rRNA from 1 species
AAUGAACGUUGGCGGCGUGGAUUAGGCAUGCAAGUCGAGCGAGAACCGUAGCAAUACGGGGACAGCGGCGAAAGGGAGAGGAACACGUGGGUACCUACCCUCGGAUUCAGGAUAGCCAUGGGAAACUAUGGGUAAUACUGAAUAACGUCUUCGGACCAAAGGUGUGAUUCCGUCCGUGGAGGGGCCCGCGUCCUAUUAGCUAGUUGGUGAGGUAACGGCUUACCAAGGCGAGGAUGGGUACGGGAUGUGAGAGCAUGAUCCCGCUCAUUGGGACUGAGACACUGCCCAGACACCUACGGGUGGCUGCAGUCGAGAAUCUUCGGCAAUGGGGGAAACCCUGACCGAGCGACGCCGCGUGCGAGAUGAAGGCCUUCGGGUUGUAAAUCGCUGUCAGAGGGGAGGAAAUGCCGGUGGGUUCUCCCAUCGGUUUGACCUAUCCUCAGAGGAAGGACGGGCUAAGUUCGUGCCAGCCGCCGCAGUAAUAC